GUCAGAGGCGAUGAAGGACGUAGUAACUUGCGAUAAGCCCAGAUUAGGUAGUAACAACCAUUUGAGUCUGGGAUUUCCGAAUGGGGAAACCCACUUACAUAAGUAAGUAUCCUUACCUGAAUACAUAGGGUAAGGAGGCGAACCGGGGGAACUGAAACAUCUAAGUACCCCGAGGAAAAGAAAUCAACCGAGAUUCCGAAAGUAGCGGCGAGCGAAA
rnacentral:rRNA from 1 species